rnacentral:rRNA from 1 species
CAGCAGCCGCGGUAAUACGUAGGUGGCAAGCGUUGUCCGGAAUUAUUGGGCGUAAAGGGCUCGCAGGCGGUUUCUUAAGUCUGAUGUGAAAGCCCCCGGCUCAACCGGGGGGGGUCAUUGGAAACUGGGAAACUUGAGUGCAGAAGAGGAGAGUGGAAUUCCACGUGUAGCGGUGAAAUGCGUAGAGAUGUGGAGGAACACCAGUGGCGAAGGCGACUCUCUGAUCUGUAACUGACGCUGAGGAGCGAAAGCGUGGGGAGCGAACAGGAUUAGAUACCCCAGUAGUCCCUGUCUCUUAUAC